GUUAAGAUGGCAGAGCCCGGCCAAUGCAAAAGACCUAAACCCUUUGUACAGAAGUUCAAAUCCUCUUCUUAGCU
rnacentral:tRNA from 1 species